rnacentral:misc_RNA from 1 species
GAUGAAGAACGUAGCGAAAUGCGAUACUUGGUGUGAAUUGCAGAAUCCCGUGAACCAUCGAGUCUUUGAACGCAAGUUGCGCCCGAAGCCAUUAGGCCGAGGGCACGCCUGCCUGGGCGUCACACGUCGUUGCCCCCCCAUCUACUCCUUCGGGAUUGCGGGGGGCGGAUGAUGGCCUCCCGUGCGCCUUGUCGCGCGGUUGGCAUAAAUACCAAGUCCUCGGCGACGCACGCCACGACAAUCGGUGGUUGCGAAACCUCGGUUGCCUGUCGUGUGCGGUCGUCGCGCAUCGAGGGCUCGAAGAAAUUGUCGGGCUCCGGCUCGGCUUUCAACGCGACCCCAGGUCAGGCGGGGUUACCCGCUGAAUUUAAGCAUAUCAAUAAGCGGAGGA